rnacentral:rRNA from 1 species
UACAGAGGUCCCGAGCGUUGUUCGGAUUCACUGGGCGUAAAGGGUGCGUAGGUGGCCUGAAAAGUUUGAUGUGAAAGCUCAGGGCUUAACCCUGAAAUGGCAUUGAAUACUGUCGGGCUGGAGGUUUGGAGGGGGGACUGGAAUUCUUGGUGUAGCAGUGAAAUGCGUAGAUAUCAAGAGGAACGCCCGUGGCGAAAGCGAGCCCCUGGACGUCUACUGACGCUUAGACGCGAAAGCCAGGGGAGCGAACGGG